AUUGAACGCUGGCGGCAGGCCUAACACAUGCAAGUCGAACGAGUGGCGGACGGGUGAGUAAUGUCUGGGAAACUGCCCGAUGGAGGGGGAUAACUACUGGAAACAGUAGCUAAUACCGCAUACCAUCGGAUGUGCCCAGAUGGGAUUAGCUAGUAGGUGGGGUAACGGCUCACCUAGGCGACGAUCCCUAGCUGGUCUGAGAGGAGGACCAGAAAAACGGGAACAGAGACACGGGCCAGACUCCUACGGGAGGCAGCAGUGGGGAAUAGUGCACAAUGGGGGCAAGCCUGAUGCAGCCAUGCCGGGGGUAGGAAGAAGGCCGUGGGGUUGGAAAGUACUUUCAGCGAGGAGGCGUUACUCGCAGAAGAAGCACCGGCUAACUCCGUGCCAGCAGCCGCGGUAAUAC
rnacentral:rRNA from 1 species